rnacentral:rRNA from 1 species
UGCCUGAUGGAGGGGGAUAACUACGGGAAACGGUAGCUAAUACCGCAUAACGUCGCAAGACCAAAGAGGGGGACCUUCGGGCCUCUUGCCAUCGGAUGUGCCCAGAGGGGAUUAGCUAGUAGGUGGGGUAACGGCUCACCUAGGCGACGAUCCCUAGCUGGUCUGAGAGGAUGACCAGCCACACUGGAGGGGAGACACGGUCCAGCCUCGUACGGGAGGCAGCAGUGGGGAAUAUUGCACAAUGGGCGCAAGCCU